UGAGGAAUAUUGGUCAAUGGGCGCAAGCCUGAACCAGCCAUGCCGCGUGCAGGAAGACGGUCCUAUGGAUUGUAAACUGCUUUUAUUUGGGAAUAAACCUCUUUACGUGUAGAGAGCUGAAGGUACCAAAUGAAUAAGCACCGGCUAACUCCGUGCCAGCAGCCGCGGUAAUACGGAGGGUGCAAGCGUUAUCCGGAAUCAUUGGGUUUAAAGGGUCCGCAGGCGGGAAGAUAAGUCAGUGGUGAAAUCUCACAGCUCAACUGUGAAACUGCCAUUGAUACUGUCUUUCUUGAAUUCGAUCGAAGUGGGCGGAAUGUGACAUGUAGCGGUGAAAUGCUUAGAUAUGUCACAGAACACCGAUAGCGAAGGCAGCUCACUAGGUCUGGAUUGACGCUCAGGGACGAAAGCGUGGGGAGCAAACA
rnacentral:rRNA from 1 species